GAUGAAGAACGUAGCGAAAUGCGAUAAGUAAUGUGAAUUGCAGAAUUCAGUGAAUCAUCGAAUCUUUGAACGCACCUUGCGCUCCUUGGUAUUCCGAGGAGCAUGCCUGUUUGAGUGUCAUUAAUAUAUCAACCUUCUCUUUUUUGAGUUGUUUGGAUGUGGGGGUUUGCUGGCCUCUUAAAUGAUUCAGCUCCCCUGAAAUGCAUUAGCAGAACAACCUGUUCAUUAGCGUGAUAAUUAUCUAUGCUAUUGAAUGUGAGGGCAGUUCAGCUUUCUAACCGUCCUUGGACAAUUCAUCGUUAAUGUGACCUCAAAUCAGGUAGGACUACCCGCUGAACUUAAGCAUAUCAAUAAGCGGAGGA
rnacentral:misc_RNA from 1 species